UACGUAGGGUGCGAGCGUUGUCCGGAAUUAUUGGGCGUAAAGGGCUCGUAGGCGGUUUGUCGCGUCGGGAGUGAAAACCAGGUGCUUAACACCUGGCUUGCUUUCGAUACGGGCAGACUAGAGGUAUGCAGGGGAGAACGGAAUUCCUGGUGUAGCGGUGAAAUGCGCAGAUAUCGGGAGGAACACCGGUGGCGAAGGCGGUUCUCUGGGCCUUACCUGACGCUGAGGAGCGAAAGCGUGGGAGCGAACAGG
rnacentral:rRNA from 1 species